rnacentral:rRNA from 1 species
UACGGAGGGUGCAAGCGUUGUCCGGAAUCACUGGGCGUAAAGGGCGCGUAGGCGGCUCGGUAAGUAGGGGGUGAAAUCCUGCGGCUUAACCGCAGGGCUGCCUUCUAAACUGUCGAGCUUGAGCACGGUAGAGGCAGAUGGAAUUCCCGGUGUAGCGGUGGAAUGCGUAGAUAUUCGGAGGAACACCAGUGGCGAAGGCGGCUCACUGGUCCAUUACUGACGCUGAGGUGCGAAAGCGUGGGGAGCAAACAGG